CCAUGCAACCUUCUUCACUCCAAAGGGCUAAUUGCUGAUGCAAAGUGGAAGGAACACAUAAGCUUUGGUAGAUCCAGUCCCUACCAAGCAAUGCAUUGUAAGUGGUAGAAGUGGUGUCUACCACAAAAAAUGCAAUCUUCAGCUCCUUGGUCCCAACUAUGACGUCCACAUCUUGGAUUCCAUGAGUCUUAGUGAUGCCCCCAGCAAAGUUAGUGACAGUCAAACGCGUUGGAAUUAGAUCAUUCUCUGUUCUGCCCAUCUUGCUCAGCAAUCUGUGAGGCAGAAGAUUAAUGGCUGCA
rnacentral:lncRNA from 1 species